rnacentral:miRNA from 1 species
UCUUUCCCUCUGCCACUCCACC